rnacentral:rRNA from 1 species
UACAGAGGUCUCAAGCGUUGUUCGGAUUCAUUGGGCGUAAAGGGUGCGUAGGCGGCGCGGUAAGUCGGGUGUGAAAUCUUGGAGCUUAACUCCGAGACUGCAUUCGAUACUGCCGUGCUUGAGGACUGGAGAGGAGACUGGAAUUUACGGUGUAGCGGUGAAAUGCGUAGAUAUCGUAAGGAAGACCAGUGGCGAAGGCGGGUCUCUGGACAGUUCCUGACGCUGAGGCACGAAGGUCAGGGGAGCAAACGGG